rnacentral:rRNA from 1 species
UUUUGGUCAAGCUAAUAAGGGCAUACGGUGGAUGCCUUGGUACAGAGAGGCGAUGAAGGACGUGGUAAGCUGCGAUAAGCCUCGGGGAGGUGCAAACAACCUUUGAUCCGAGGAUUUCCGAAUGGGGCAACCCGAUGCGGGUCAUGCCGCAUCACCCCCGGGUGAAUAUAUAGCUCGGGUGGGGCUAACGGGGUGAACUGAAACAUCUAAGUAACCCCUGGAAUAGAAAGCAACCGCGAUUUCCUCAGUAGUGGCGAGCGAAAGGGAAAUAGCCCAAACCGGUUCGCAUGUUAAAACCUGCAUGUGUUGUGCGACCGGGGUUGUGGGGUGAGAUCUGAUAGAGAUGCAGAUCUGUCAGGGAGUUACAAAUUUGCAAUGUAGCCAAACAGUUCUGGAAAGUCUGGCCGCAGAAGGUGAAAGCCCUGUAGGCGAAACAUUGCAAACUCCUGUGAUCUCAUUCCCGAGUACUGCGGGACACGUGAAAUCCUGUAGGAAUCUGGGAGGACCACCUCCCAAGGCUAAAUACUCCUCUGUGACCGAUAGUGAACUAGUACCGUGAGGGAAAGGUGAAAAGUACUCCUGAAUGGAGAGUGAAAUAGAACCUGAAACCGUUUGCUUACAAGCGGUCGGAGGACAAACCGCGAUCUUCGGAUCUCGGGGAGUCUGACGGCGUGCCUUUUGCAUAAUGAGCCGGUGAGUUACUCCUGAGUUGCAAGGUUAACCUACUUUGUAGGGAAGCCGUAGCGAAAGCGAGUCUGAAUAGGGCGAUACAGUAGCUUGGGGUAGACCCGAAGCCAGGUGAUCUACCCAUGGCCAGGAUGAAGCGUGAUUAACCUCACGUGGAGGUCCGAACCCACCAAUGUUGAAAAAUUGGGGGAUGAGCUGUGGGUAGGGGUGAAAGGCCAAUCAAACCUGGAGAUAGCUGGUUCUCCUCGAAAUAGCUUUUGGGCUAGCCUCUUGUUAUAGAGUGGCGGAGGUAGAGCACUGGAUAGGCUCGGGGGCUUCACCGCUUACCAACCCUAACCAAACUCCGAAUGCCGCACACUUGUUCCAAGGGAGUCAGCGCAUGGGGGAUAAGCUUCAUGUGCGAGAGGGAAACAACCCAGACCACCAGCUAAGGUCCCUAAGUACAGGCUAAGUGAUAAAGGAUGUGGGAGUGCGUAGACAGCCAGGAUGUUGGCUUAGAAGCAGCCAUUCAUUUAAAGAGUGCGUAACAGCUCACUGGUCAAGUGAACCUGCGCCGAUAAUGAUCGGGACUAAAGCCUGUCACCGAAGCUGUGGGCUUCAACUUUUGUUGGAGCGGUAGAGGAGUAUUCUAUUGUAGGCUGAAGGCAGACUGUGAAGUCUGCUGGACGACGUGGAAGCAAUCAUGCCGGCAUGAGUAGCGAUAAAACAGGUGAGAAUCCUGUUCACCGAAAGUCUAAGGUUUCCUGGGGAAGGUUCGUCCGCCCAGGGUUAGUCGGACCCUAAGCCGAGGCCGAAAGGCGUAGGCGAUGGGAAACAGGUUAAAAUUCCUGUACCACCUUAGAGACGUUUGAACUAUGGGGUAACGCAGAAGUGACGAUCAGCCCGCGACUGGAAAUGCGGGUCUAAGCCUGUAGGGGGAUCACCAGGGAAAAUACGGGUGAUCACAACCCUGAGAGGUGAUGGGGAAACGAGCCUUCGGGCAAGCCAACUGGUCUUAAUCAUGCUGCCGAGAAAAACCUCUAUGUGAGUCUCUCGGGUGUCCGUACCGCAAACCGACACAGGUAGACGGGGUGAGAAUCCUAAGGUGCGCGAGAGAACCCCUGUUAAGGAACUAGGCAAAAUGGCUCCGUAACUUCGGGAGAAGGAGUGCCUCCAAGUAGGUGAACGGACUUGCUCCGGGAGCUGAAGGGGGCCGCAGAGAAACGGCCUGGGCGACUGUUUACUAAAAACACAGGUCUCUGCUAAGUCGCAAGACGACGUAUAGGGACUGACACCUGCCCGGUGCCAGUAGGUCAAGAGGAAAGGUUAGUCUUCGGACGAAGCUUUGAAUCGAAGCUCUGGUAAACGGCGGCCGUAACUAUAACGGUCCUAAGGUAGCGAAAUUCC